rnacentral:rRNA from 1 species
CCUACGGGGGGCUGCAGUCGAGAAUCUUCGGCAAUGGGCGCAAGCCUGACCGAGCGAUGCCGCGUGCGGGAUGAAGGCCUUCGGGUUGUAAACCGCUGUCAGAGGGGAUGAAAUACGUCGGGGGUUCUCCCCCGGGUUUGACAUAUCCUCAGAGGAAGGACGGGCUAAGUUCGUGCCAGCAUCCGCGGUAAGACGAACCGUCCAAAUGUUAUGCGGAAUUGCUGGGCUGAAAGGCUGCGUAGGCGGGCGUGAAAUACCUCGGAUCAACCGAGGAACAGCGCUCAAAACUGUCAGGCUUGAGGGAGAUAGAGGUGAGCGGAACUUAAGGUGGAGCGGUGAAAUGCGUUGAUAUCUUAAGGAACACCCGUGGCGAAAGCGGCUCACUGGAUCUCUUCUGACGCUCAUGCACGAAAGCUAGGGGAGCAAACGGGAUUAGAUACCCUUGUAGUC